rnacentral:rRNA from 1 species
GCAAGUCGAGCGGAGAAUGCGGAUAUGUUUACAUAGAAGCGUUCUUAGCGGCGGACGGGUGAGUAACACGUGGGUAACCUGCCUCAAAGUGGGGGAUAGCCUUCCGAAAGGAAGAUUAAUACCGCAUAAGCCUACAGUAUCGCAUGGUACAGCAGGAAAAGGAGCAAUCCGCUUUGAGAUGGACCCGCGGCGCAUUAGCUAGUUGGUGAGGUAACGGCUCACCAAGGCGACGAUGCGUAGCCGACCUGAGAGGGUGAUCGGCCACAUUGGAACUGAGACACGGUCCAGACUCCUACGGGAGGCAGCAGUGGGGAAUAUUGCACAAUGGGCGAAAGCCUGAUGCAGCAACGCCGCGUGAGUGAUGAAGGCCUUCGGGUCGUAAAGCUCUUUGAUCAGGGAUGAUAAUGACAGUACCUGAAAAACAAGCCAUGGCUAACUACGUGCCAGCAGCCGCGGUAAUACGUAGGUGGCGAGCGUUGUCCGGAAUUACUGGGCGUAAAGGAUGCGUAGGUGGAUAUUUAAGUGGGAUGUGAAAUCCCCGGGCUCAACCCGGGAACUGCAUUCCAAACUGGGUAUCUAGAGUGCAGGAGAGGAAAGCGGAAUUCCUAGUGUAGCGGUGAAAUGCGUAGAUAUUAGGAGGAACACCAGUGGCGAAGGCGGCUUUCUGGACUGUAACUGACACUGAGGCAUGAAAGCGUGGGUAGCAAACAGGAUUAGAUACCCUGGUAGUCCACGCCGUAAACGAUGGGUACUAGGUGUAGGAGGUAUCGACCCCUUCUGUGCCGUCGUUAACACAAUAAGUACCCCGCC